UUGAACGCUGGCGGCAGGCCUAACACAUGCAAGUCGAACGGUAACAGGAAGAAGCUUGCUUCUUUGCUGACGAGUGGCGGACGGGUGAGUAAUGUCUGGGAAACUGCCUGAUGGAGGGGGAUAACUACUGGAAACGGUAGCUAAUACCGCAUAACGUCGCAAGACCAAAGAGGGGGACCUUCGGGCCUCUUGCCAUCGGAUGUGCCCAGAUGGGAUUAGCUAGUAGGUGGGGUAACGGCUCACCUAGGCGACGAUCCCUAGCUGGUCUGAGAGGAUGACCAGCCACACUGGAACUGAGACACGGUCCAGACUCCUACGGGAGGCAGCAGUGGGGAAUAUUGCACAAUGGGCGCAAGCCUGAUGCAGCCAUGCCGCGUGUAUGAAGAAGGCCUUCGGGUUGUAAAGUACUUUCAGCGGGGAGGAAGGGAGUAAAGUUAAUACCUUUGCUCAUUGACGUUACCCGCAGAAGAAGCACCGGCUAACUCCGUGCCAGCAGCCGCGGUAAUACGGAGGGUGCAAGCGUUAAUCGGAAUUACUGGGCGUAAAGCGCACGCAGGCGGUUUGUUAAGUCAGAUGUGAAAUCCCCGGGCUCAACCUGGGAACUGCAUCUGAUACUGGCAAGCUUGAGUCUCGUAGAGGGGGGUAGAAUUCCAGGUGUAGCGGUGAAAUGCGUAGAGAUCUGGAGGAAUACCGGUGGCGAAGGCGGCCCCCUGGACGAAGACUGACGCUCAGGUGCGAAAGCGUGGGGAGCAAACAGGAUUAGAUACCCUGGUAGUCCACGCCGUAAACGAUGUCGACUUGGAGGUUGUGCCCUUGAGGCGUGGCUUCCGGAGCUAACGCGUUAAGUCGACCGCCUGGGGAGUACGGCCGCAAGGUUAAAACUCAAAUGAAUUGACGGGGGCCCGCACAAGCGGUGGAGCAUGUGGUUUAAUUCGAUGCAACGCGAAGAACCUUACCUGGUCUUGACAUCCACGGAAGUUUUCAGAGAUGAGAAUGUGCCUUCGGGAACCGUGAGACAGGUGCUGCAUGGCUGUCGUCAGCUCGUGUUGUGAAAUGUUGGGUUAAGUCCCGCAACGAGCGCAACCCUUAUCCUUUGUUGCCAGCGGUCCGGCCGGGAACUCAAAGGAGACUGCCAGUGAUAAACUGGAGGAAGGUGAGGAUGACGUCAAGUCAUCAUGGCCCUUACGACCAGGGCUACACACGUGCUACAAUGGCGCAUACAAAGAGAAGCGACCUCGCGAGAGCAAGCGGACCUCAUAAAGUGCGUCGUAGUCCGGAUUGGAGUCUGCAACUCGACUCCAUGAAGUCGGAAUCGCUAGUAAUCGUGGAUCAGAAUGCCACGGUGAAUACGUUCCCGGGCCUUGUACACACCGCCCGUCACACCAUGGGAGUGGGUUGCAAAAGAAGUAGGUGGCUUAACCUUCGGGAGGGCGCUUACCACUUUGUGAUUCAUGACUGGGGUG
rnacentral:rRNA from 1 species